rnacentral:rRNA from 1 species
GAUCAUGGCUCAGGAUGAACGCUAGCUACAGGCUUAACACAUGCAAGUCGAGGGGCAGCAUGGUCUUAGCUUGCUAAGGCCGAUGGCGACCGGCGCACGGGUGAGUAACACGUAUCCAACCUGCCGUCUACUCUUGGACAGCCUUCUGAAAGGAAGAUUAAUACAAGAUGGCAUCAUGAGUCCGCAUGUUCACAUGAUUAAAGGUUUACCGGUGUAAGAUGGGGA